CUUCAGUUUUCAGGUGUUAGUACAAGUAACAAUCAAAGCCAUUUUAGGGAACCGUUAUCCUUUUGAGUCCAUCAGCAAACUCAUGUGAACACGGAUGCACAAUUCACUGGGAAUCUUAGAGGUCUUACAACGUUAAUGAUUCAACGAAAACUCAUGAAUAUGAGCUCCCACCUGAUAAGAUGCUUGGGGUAAGUGACUGUCAGUUGUUAUCUGUUCAUGGGGAAGUUGUUUGGUGACCUGGUGUUACCAGGGGAGAUGCCAAGCUGUUAUUGGGACUUGUUCUGGGCUGUGUUUCUCCACCAGAGUACAGUCACUGUGGUCACUAAUACUUGGUGUGCAGCCAAGCCUGUGCUUAAGCAGCAUGUGGUUACUUUUUGUUUUUUGUCUCUCAAAUUUCAAUUCUUCACAGACAAGGAGCUUUGAGAUGUCAUUUGUGUUCUGGAUUUGCUGCUUGCAACAAAGGACUGCUCCAAACAGAACAGCACUGCUCAGCCACAAACAUGUGCUAUUCACAGGUCUGCGUUUCUCACUCUUGUAAAAAUUUGAUCUACUUCAGUAUUGGUCAAGGAGCACAUGAAGACCAUUUGGAUGAAUUCAUACAAAAAUCAAUUGGAAUUGCUACAGAUCAGUCUACCCCACUUAUAAUGACCUUAGUAGGAGACAAAUGCAAGAAGCCUUGGUGUGUUGAAUGUAAACCACUAUCACAGAAGAAAAUUGGAGUAUGAGGUUCUGUAAGUGAAGCAGAAGCCUGGACUGUAACUCUCAGUGGUGCUGCUCUGCCCUCUGCAGACUGGAUUGUAUAAUCACAUACUAACCUCAUCGCUUACUUUCAAAGCACAUCUCACUCAACAGAAAAAGAAGUCAUCAAAGCAAACGAUGCACACAUGAACAUCACUGUGACACUGCAAGUCCUAAAUAAGUCAGGAGUAUUCCUGAGGCAGCACCUGGUUUCUGAGUAUCCUCACCAUGUCCACACUGCCAGUUAAGGUGGGGAAAUUAUUGCCUGAGUAGCACUGAUGCCUAGAAUGUGAAUUCAGAAUGAGGUACAGGACAUAUUCAUGUGUGUUACUCUAAUAUAAGUCACACGACAUUUCUGGAUGGUGGAGAGACUAGUUCCAACUCCCAUUGCAAAGCUACUCCUCCCUCAUACUAAGAACAUUUUUCUACAGUUUUUCUACAGGGCACGUGGGCCACAGCAAAUGCUUAACUGAUACACCAGGCAAUCAGCAUCCCACUCUGCAAGUUGUUUAGCUACAUGCCACACUGCACAGCACCUGCCUCCACCUUUUAUCCUCGGUAAACAUCCAGGAAAUGAGGCAAAUGAAUCCAACUUUAUGAGCUCUCAAUAAUUUCAUGUGCUGUCCUCAUGUGCUCUAGCAUGUUAGCUGGUAAAGAAUGUUAAAGCAUAUUUAAUUCUCCUCUAUUUGCUGCAUCCCCACUGAUGUGAGAAAACACACAACACUACUUAUUGCUUCUUAUAAGUGCUUUUGAACUAAGGACAUGUCAUAACCCUUCUGACAGAAAACAACAUUUUUAUAAGGCUUCUCUUGGAUAGGAACAGUACAAUAGAAUUCACACAACACACAAUUCAGAUUUGUUCCAACUUUUUGUUUCAUUAAGUGCUGACAUUUGAAAAAAUUUCUCAAAGCAUACAUGCCAAACCCUAGGCAGCAGAUGUGGCCCUCACAAACGAUCAGCACCUGAUGUUUCUUUACUCCACCUGCCUGCAGUUAUCAGGUGUCAGACCACAGACAGAACACCAGGUCUUCUGAAAAAAGAGCCUGGCAGGAAGAAAAAUUUGCAUAGGCAGCUCCAAGCAUAGCACUUCUUAUAUUGUGUGACUACCACAUGUGCUGGUUACAUGACCCAAAGACUCACAUGUCAGGAAACAAGAGAAGUGGCAGUCUUUCAGCAAGUGGCAGCAUUUGCAGAAUAUCUUCAGUACAAAACCAAAAUAGGUAUUUAAAAUUUUUUUUUUUUUUUUCUCAGAGCAGAGCUUGCAAUAUGUAAUGUUAUGAUGCUUCUCUAAGUUAACUUUAAUGGCAGGUCGAUUCUUAAUAAUGACUCUUCUGAACUAUUUUCACCUUCCAUAAUUUGCAGGUAAAACAAGUGAAAGGUAAGUCAGAGCAGCAUAUAAAAAAUUGAUGGAAUUUUGUCAUCCUUCAUUGCUUUUGUUUCUUUGAUGGAUCUGCUGCAGAUUAAUGGGACAGGCUAGAAAAUUUUCAAGUAUAUCAGUAAUCAAACUAAAAGUCUUUAAUUUUCACCUUGCCCAUUUCACAAAUGGAACUGGUAUUACUAUUCCAAAGCAAAAAAAUUGGAGGAAAACAGUGGUCAUGUUUAUACUUAGCAACACUCCAAUACUCCAUUUGACAACAGCUGAAUUGCAUUCUUAAAAAAGAAAUUUUUACAUAUUAAACAGAAUUCUCUACAUAAUCCCUGCUAUCUAAUGUAACUGACACAGAAAUGUCACUUGGGGUCUGGGCUAUAUCUUGAAAACCUUGUACAAUCUGACAAUAGCUUCAUCAAAUGAACAUUCAAGCUCUAGUUUUAUCUUUCUUUACAUUCCUUUUAAUCCAAGGACUUGGGAGUGGUUUGUGACAUGUAACUGAAGAAAGCAAAGGAAAGGAAAUCCACUCUUAAUACUGCUUCUUCUUCCAACAAAAUAAUUGUAUCUUACGUCAUAGCAAAUAUUCUCAAAUCUAGAAAUAUGAUAAAUUCUGAAAACCUGUACCAGAAACACUAUUUCUGUACCUGUUUACCAUUUCCCUUGGACAAAAUGCUGUAAUAUCCCAGCACUCUGACCAAGGCCAGGAACAAGUUAACUACCCUUGAAUAAACAUGAUUAUUUCAGGGGAAUGUUCA
ensembl:lncRNA